AGUGAACGCUGGCGGUAGGCCUAACACAUGCAAGUCGAACGGCAGCACAGUAAGAGCUUGCUCUUACGGGUGGCGAGUGGCGGACGGGUGAGGAAUACAUCGGAAUCUACUUUUUCGUGGGGGAUAACGUAGGGAAACUUACGCUAAUACCGCAUACGACCUACGGGUGAAAGCAGGGGAUCUUCGGACCUUGCGCGAUUGAAUGAGCCGAUGUCGGAUUAGCUAGUUGGCGGGGUAAAGGCCCACCAAGGCGACGAUCCGUAGCUGGUCUGAGAGGAUGAUCAGCCACACUGGAACUGAGAUACGGUCCAGACUCCUACGGGAGGCAGCAGUGGGGAAUAUUGGACAAUGGGCGAAAGCCUGAUCCAGCCAUACCGCGUGGGUGAAGAAGGCCUUCGGGUUGUAAAGCCCUUUUGUUGGGAAAGAAAAGCAGCAGGUUAAUACCCCGCUGUUCUGACGGUACCCAAAGAAUAAGCACCGGCUAACUUCG
rnacentral:rRNA from 1 species